GAAAUUAUAGGCAAAACAGUGAUGGGAACAAGGCUGAAAAUUACAAAGUUUCCCAAACACUCCAGCAUUUUAUAAAGGGUUAACAUUCACAAAAAGCAAAAAAAGGUUCUUCUGAUAGCGGCACACGGUUUCCUGCGACUCCGUGGCGUUUCUCCGUGCCCUGGGGAACUGGUUUGGGUGGUUAGUGAUUUACAGCGGCACACUCCGUUGAGACUGUCAUGAGCUAUUUUAGUGCUGGACUCUCUUCCACACCCUGAGCAAGAAACAGACUGCCACAUGGGAGGACUCUGGCUGAUCCAGAUUUGAAAGAGGCGAUCCGAUGUGUCUGUAAUGAUGAGCUGGAGGUUUAACAGCCGCCACUGAUAUCUACAGAGCAAGGGACUGAUAUAAAGCCAGUUUAUGACAACGCUUGAGAGAAAACAUAUCAGGGUGGACAGUGAACUCUGGUCGUUUUGAGAUGAUCUACAUCAACCAACAGCCUGGUGCACUAUGGGAAGGGCUGCUCAACUGGAUAGAAAGCGAACCAAAAAAGGAGAAGAAGGAUGAUCAUGGUUUACCUUCCAAACCUCUAAGACUUUCUUUCUUCUGUGGAACAUUAGAGAUGUUCUGACCCCACUGACUUUCACUGUGUGUGGACACAACACCCGGAGAGACCCGCUUUAAUGAGCGUCGCAUCCCAUGAAGCACUGCGAAUGAUGUCAUCACAAACCAACAACAACAGCAAAGCUCUCUGGAGGGAAACAACGGGUUUUUCACUCGUCCAGAGUCUGCUGCUGGAAACACUUCACAGCGCAGGUCCGUGAUUCACACCGAGCGCAGACGAUAACCAGACGGCCCACCUGAGCAGGACACACAUCGUUUACCCACAAUGCCGCAGGGCUCUGGAGCUGUCGAUCUCACAGCUGCUGAAAGAAACGCCUGAUCUCAGGAUACAGUCAUUGAAUGAUCCGCAAAAAAAUACCUUAUGAAAGACACAACAGCCUUCAGGAAUAUAGUGCAUUACAAAUACUGUUACUAAUGAAUGGAACUGAGCAGUCUUUGAUGAUUAUGACACUAUUUGAUACUAUUAUGAUAUAAAACAAUAAUCAACAAUCAAAUUUUUCAACACGCCAUCAAAUUUGGAAAUGAUCUGUCAUUUAUUUAUAUAUAUAUGAUCGUUUUUUAAUAAAUAUUAAUUUACAAUAAUUAAAUAUAACUCA
ensembl:lncRNA